UCCCCAGAGAUGACCCAUCCAUUCUCCUGCCUGGAGCAUCAAAUCUCCUGUCUGGUUGCUGACAUUCUGGAGCUGAUGGUGGGGAGAAGAUUAGUGGUCUCAACAUUCAAUGAGGACUAGCAAUACAGGUAUUAUGUCACCAUUUGGAAUGAUCUUUGAAAGUUUCAAGAUCUCUUUGAAGAGAAGUAAAGACUGAAGAGAGAUUCUGGAGCAAGUUUCCCCAAUUUGUCAUGGAGUGCUAACUAAUUAAGGAGUUGUCACUUUCCUGGCCUUCUCUCAGUGCUGUGCACACUACAGGAUAUAAAUGUGGAUGUGAGGGUAAUCCUUCAUUAUAUAUUCAAGGGAACUGCCAAGUGUUUCCAUUUGUAUUGUUAUCAUUUGAAGAUAAAUCAUUUCAAUUUAUUUUAAUAAAAGGCAAGCAGACAUAUAUCUGUGUUAAGCUUCUUCAUGCCAUUGAUAACCCCCACUUUUAAUCGAUUUUCCUAAUCACUUGCUUUCUGUAUUACUGUGUGAGAAAGCCAAAUUCU
rnacentral:lncRNA from 1 species